AAGAAAAAAGGAAUGAUUUCUUUUCUCUCAAAUGCCGAAUCGUAUUUGUAUUUGUGUUUGUUUCUGCCUCCUCCUUUUGUCUUCUCAUUCUCUUUGCUUAUUCUUCUUCUUUU
rnacentral:ribozyme from 1 species